rnacentral:rRNA from 1 species
UACAGAGGGUGCAAGCGUUAAUCGGAAUUACUGGGCGUAAAGCGUGCGUAGUCGGUUAUCUAAGUCGGGUGUGAAAUCCCCGGGCUCAACCUGGGAAUUGCAUUCGAUACUGGAUAGCUAGAGUUCGGCAGAGGGAAGCGGAAUUUCGGGUGUAGCGGUGAAAUGCGUAGAUAUCUGUAAGAACACCAAAGGCGAAAGCAGCUUGCUGGAAUGGUCCUGACACUCAUGGACGAAAGCGUGGGGAGCGAAAAGG